UUCGGUUGUGACUAGGAAGGCGCUAGUGGACUAGAGCCAGGGUAAGGAGAUUUGCUGGAAGUUGGUCUUCCGCCAGGACUAGAGCUUCCUCGCGGUAACAGCCUCCGUGGCCUCCGGAGGACCAUGUCAUUAGACUUUGGCAGUGUGGCACUACCAGUGCAAAAUGAAGAUGAGGAGUAUGACAAAGAGGACUAUGAAAGAGAGAAAGAGGUAAGUUGUUAAAAAAAAAAGAGACACUAAACCUAA
rnacentral:sRNA from 1 species